CUCCGACACCCGGAUCACAUCGUGAUAAGAUGAUCGCCUAAUCUGGAUGGCAUGGUGGUCUCGGUGGAGGCCGAGACAGAGAGAGCAGAUUGCGCCGUUCAUGCAGUCGAGGCAGUACAUGUUGCACUCGCUCUUGUGGGACUCGGCGUGGAGCUUGCAUUGAGCGAAGAAGUUCGUGGUCAGCAGCGGGCGCAGCCACGGCGGCCAGCGGCUGUCGUCGUCAGUCCUGUCGCUGUCCAUGAUCUUGUUAUUCUUGAGACGGAGAUCUCGGAAUCGGGCUUCGUGAUCGAAGACCAUGCUGGUGUUGAUUGAGAGAGCUAUGAUUGAAGGGAGAUGGGAAUUUUGAGUUUUGGAUUUCAAUGCGGAGGAGAAGGGGG
rnacentral:misc_RNA from 1 species